rnacentral:rRNA from 1 species
CUAUGCGCCUUGCCAGCCCGCUCAGGUGUGCCAGCAGCCGCGGUAAUACGUAGGGGGCAAGCGUUAUCCGGAUUUACUGGGUGUAAAGGGAGCGUAGACGGCGGCGCAAGUCUGGAGUGAAAGCCCGGGGCCCAACCCCGGGACUGCUCUGGAAACUGCGGCGCUCGAGUGCCGGAGGGGCAGGCGGAAUUCCUAGUGUAGCGGUGAAAUGCGUAGAUAUUAGGAGGAACACCAGUGGCGAAGGCGGCCUGCUGGACGGCGACUGACGUUGAGGCUCGAAAGCGUGGGGAGCAAACAGG